AGCCGAGGCUGCUGCUCCGGAACCUGCGCCCCGCCUUCUCCCGGAAUGUCUCGCCUUUUUUUUUUUUUUAAAGAUGGUCAGGAUAGGUUUUCGCAUUUAGGGUUUCCCCCUGUAAUCCACAACGGAGGAGCCACUGAUCCCUUUGGUUUGUCCUUUACCCUGCACACCCCUUCCGGUCCCCUUUGUUCACACCAGCCAUUGUCAGCACAUCACUGGAGAACGUGGUGCCCUUCUGGGCAGGAGGAGUUGCGGGGAAACUGAGUUCUGCCUUGGGACCCCUUUGCUUUUCCACGCAGUCUCUAGGUCCUAGAAGAGUCUAGGAGGAGGGAAAGACCUGAACUUUCAUGUGAGGACUCUAACCACCUCGCCCCCUCCGCCUCAGGUAUUAUUAACUCUCCUCUUUGAGUGACGGGGAGGUGAUGUUCCAAUAAGAUCAUCUGUGGACCCAGGGCUUGGAAUGGGCCCGCUUAGAACCUCAAUUUUGCUCCCUGCGAAUGGUUCUGUGGCUGACAAAGGCCCCCAAACUGGAGUCUUGGCAGAGUGAUUAGGACCGAGAUCCCGACCCAGCGGUUCUGAGGAGUGGGCCGGCCCCUCCCUAAGGCCAAAUGGAUUGGAAAGGCAAACAGAGUUGGAGAAACUAGGAAAAGUUUGCCAACCCCUGGAGUAAGAGGAUGAUGAAACCACAAGAUGGAAGGAUCCUGAGUCCCUGAUUAAUUCACUGGAGCAGAACUCAGCGUUCCCUCACCCCACCCUGUGACAGAAGGAGAUGGUCCAUAAAGAUGCAUCACUUUCUCUAAGCAUUUAUUGUCAAAUACUAUUGCAAAGAAGAAAAAAUCAGCAGCCAUUUCACUGGGGCCUUGCCUGGAGCCAGGAACUGGAGCCAAUGGACUGUCCUGAAGCUUUGAAAUUCCACAGAAGUCAAAACUGAGAGUUUGCAUUCCUCACAGACAAGCAAAACUUUCCACAGAAAUAUCAUCACCGUGCAGCAGCAGAAGCCUGCCUUGUGUCAGCCUCCACCCCAGAACUGCAGGUUAUCGUGGUUAGCAGUACCAACUGGAAAGGUAUUAGGAUCUUCUCCAGGUGGGAAGUGUUUAUGGGAGGUGCCAAUUCCAUCACCGCACUGCUAUUAUCAAGCACAUUAUCCCAUGGCCAUCUUCGAGGCUGAAACCAUCAGGUGUGCUAAAUCAGUGGUUACUAGAGUGAGGGCCGUAGGCUGUACUAGAACCCAAGACACCUUCCAUCAACUUCUGACACAUUAAAUGGGUUACUUAUGUGUUCAUUAUUUAACUCCCUCAAAGACUAUAUGAGUUCCGCAAGAACAGGGGUUUGAUAUGUUUGUGUGAUUCUGUAUCCCUAGUGCCUAUGACAGUCCCUGGAACAUUUUUUGGUGAAUGAACACAUGAACAUUUGUAAGAUCUGACUAGCAAUGUUCUCUGAUUCCAUAUCCUGUCUCUCCUUGA